rnacentral:lncRNA from 1 species
GCAUGGACCGACCCAAACAGGUGUGUUGCAUCUUUUUCCAACGCCCAGAGCGUAAUAUAGGAGGUGCCUACAUUGGCCGGCCCAGUCCGGACAUUUUCUUGUUUGAAAUGUUUUUUAUGACUUAUAGGUGGCAUUGAUGGGUAAUAUUAGUCAACUUUAAGGGCAAUUUGAAUGACGUACGGAAGAAGCACUAUUUGCUUUAUUAUUAGGUAAAAAAUGAAACAGAAAAAUGAAAAUAAAAAAUGAGACUAAAAACAGAGGCACGAACUGUUUUUAAGAUUUUUACACGGACUUUGUUUAAAAUCGUUGACUUUUUUAUUUUAUGGACAUUUUCUCAAAGUUUAAACAUUUUUUUAUAUGCAAACAUUUUUCAAAACUCCUGAGUAGUUU